GACGAACGCUGGCGGCGUGCUUAACACAUGCAAGUCGAACGAUGAAGCCGGAGCUUGCUCUGGUGAAUUAGUGGCGAACGGGUGAGUAACACGUGAGUAACCUGCCCUUGACUCUGGGAUAACUGCGGGAAACUGUAGCUAAUACCGGAUACGACCCUCGGAGGCAUCUCCUGGGGGUGGAAAGAAUUUCGGUCAAGGAUGGACUCGCGGCCUAUCAGCUAGUUGGUGAGGUAAAGGCUCACCAAGGCGACGACGGGUAGCCGGCCUGAGAGGGUGACCGGCCACACUGGGACUGAGACACGGCCCAGACUCCUACGGGAGGCAGCAGUGGGGAAUAGUGCACAAUGGGCGCAAGCCUGAUGCAGCACCGCCGCGUGAGGGAUGACGGCCUUCGGGUUGUAAACCUCUUUUAGCAGGGAAGAAGCGAAAGUGACGGUACCUGCAGAAAAAGCACCGGCUAACUACGUGCCAGCCGCCGCGGUAA
rnacentral:rRNA from 1 species